ACUAUUUUGGCAGAAAAAUGUGAUGGUUUUAGAAAUCAUUUAUAUAUAAUUAUUUAUAUAGAUAGUA
rnacentral:tRNA from 1 species